AGCUGCUUUUGGAAGAGAACGUAACGUGGCAACCUAUUUAAGAGGACAAUGGUACCUGCAAUCGUACCAUUUAACUUUGGACAUGUUUACAGGAAAGACAUGAUCUCAUAAAUGGUGUGUAUGUUCAGAGUAUGAUCAAGACCAAACUAAGUUCGGUAAGAGUGCAAUGUUAUACGGUGCAAUCAAGGCUGGUCUGAAGAUGGUGGCUACAGGAACUAGUAACAAAACAAGGCAACGCAACUCCAAUGUUCUGUUUUGGUUUGGAAAUUUAUUUAAAUGUGCAUUUACAAAAAAUCGAAGAGCUAUCGAAUGCACCGUGUUUAUUGUAAGCACAAUGUUGUCCCGGUGUUAGUAGGUGGAAACCGGUAGGGGUCGGGCGGGCGACGGGGCAGUCUGCCGCCCGACGCCGGUCGGCGCACACCGCACGCUGCCCGUGCCGCCUGCGCCCGAAACUUCGUGAAGUGACACCGGCAUGUAUCGGAUUACUCAAGUGUGCUAGCUAUAAAAUUAUCAAGAUUCCUGAGCCGUAACGUUGAGCGCGGUGGUGUUUAAAUCUUCAUAAGACAAUGUUGAAAAAAUGCUUAAAGAUGCAGAAUACGUUACUCUAAAUGACGAAAAUGAUUACCCAGUAAGAGAACGCGCAGAAUGCAACCAGGGAGUUCCGGAUUAACGUGAUGCAACUUGUAAUGCUAAACUUCUUAAUCAUGUUCGAUAUAGUGUUCAUAUUUUUUCUGUUUCUAAUUGCGGUUACAUGUGUGAUGAACUACAUGCCUGGGAAAAGCAAGAGGCAGGAGGUGAUUGAGGAGGAGGUGGACGAUGACGUCAUCCCGCCGCCCCCGCUGUUCGAUGACGAUUGCCUGCCGUCGACUAGCCGCGACACUUACGUCGUCAUUCCACCACCGUUGGACCACGUGGCUAAUGCUAAAGACGGGUGUCCUAUACACGUGGUGUAAUAUAAGCACUGAAUAAUAUAUCAACGUAGGAGUUUAUUACGAAGAAGCCUUAUGAGAAUGUAGAUGACAAAAACAAAAUGUAGGCAUUUUUUACCAAAUCGUCAUGUAUAAGUAAAAUUUCUUGUUACGUAAGACUAAAAGGUGGAAUUUUUGGGACUCAAGAGAAUGGUAUGUACUAACAAAUGACUCGGUUGUUCAAUAGGUUUGUCAAAGCGCUACCAACAUAUUUACAGAUACGCUCUUUUGCGUCAAGUGCGAUAUUUAAGUAGUUACUUGUUAUUUUGAGUCGAUAUAAGUAGAUACAUUUAUGGAGUAAGGAACCGAUUAUAUAGUUAUAACACGUAACGCCUAAUUGUUGGUAAACUUUAAAUUAGUUAGCAAACUGAUCUCUAUUGUGUUAGCCUACCCAAUAUAUUUCGUGCCCUCGAGUUAAGUAUCACAGACAGUAGAAGCAAGUUUGUUACAAAUCACCGUUGUUUUCUUUUGCUAUCGUACCCAAGGUACUUUCAACGCGAAGUGUUCACAUUUCAUGUUUUUGCAAGUGCUUCUUUAAAAUAAAUGUGACUGAAUUAUAGGUAACAUAGAUAAGGUUUAUAUAUUAUGUUAAUAGUUAACUAAAAUUGUAUGCUAUACCUACGUUAAGCCGGCAUUUUGUAAAGGUUAUAAAUUAUUAACAUAUUAGACUAUACAUAUUUUAUUUUGAUUAUUAAUUAAGAUUUGAGUACCUAGUUUUAUUUGGAAGUAAAAUGCAAAGUGAAUCUAGUAAAAUGCUUAGAACCCUGUUGCCGACAAAGGCUUCAAAGAUGAAUAACCUCACAUUUGUUUUCUUUCUUUUCUUUAGAACUUUUUGUAAGUGAUCAAUCCUAAAUUUCGUAAUCAAUUAAGUGUCUAAAUAAUCCAGACUAUUUAAUUUAAAUAGAAUUUUGACGAUGACUAAGAUUAAUAAAGACAGAUUGAAGUAAGUUUCACACUGAGUAUAAUUUAUACAAUAAUCCAUUUAUAAGUAAAACUUAGCUGUUUUUAAUUUUUUAUUUUAUUAGACACUUAAAUAAAGUGAUGUAACUAUUGGAUAACAAAAGAUCAAUCUAAAAUGAAUUAAAGAGAAACAUCAAUCAUUCUCUACAUUGGAAUAGAUUCUCGUUUUUAUCAACGUAUGUAAUAUUUAGUUUAUAUUCAAAAUAUGAGUAAAUGUUCAUACAUCAGACAUUUCCGUACGAAAAUUAUUAGUAGAAUUAAGAGUUAUAUCAAACAUUAUGUUUCUAUGUGUCAUUUCUUUUUUGUUUUGAUGAUGAUGCCUACAGAUAAGCAUAAUAAGCAGAUAAGUACUCGUAAAACUGUUUAAGAAAUUAUUACCAAUUGAAUUGCUAACCCAAUUCUAUUGCUUUUCGUUGCUGUUCGUAAUUUGGAAAUAACAUUUCGUUUCUUAUUUAUAACCACUUUUCAAAGUUAUAUUUCCUAUCUUAAUUAUACAGGCAUACCUACUGAAGAUUUCGCCCUAUUACUUUAAAAUAUAUAUAUAUGUGAAUACGGUUUUUCACGAGGAACAUACCGUAUACACAUGCAGGACAUACAGAGUUCUGAAAUUUAAAUACACUUAAAAUCAGAAUAUAGGUGAUGUUCCGAUGGCAACUACGGCUGCGUUUAGGAUGUUUCGAUAUUACUGCUGCGGCCUUCACUCGGGCGCUGCCACUGACAAUUUCCUUGAUAAUAUGAGUGACUUUGGUAGCCGCAUCACUGCCGCGAUUUUUAACGUUCAAGCCCUUACUCAUUUAUGGGAACUAGACAACUCUGAAACUCACUAUGGAAAUUGACGGCGACAGCGCCCGCGUCAAGACCGCAGCAGUAAAGUAGCAACAGUAGUAGCAGCAGCUGCAGUUGCCAUCCGAAAAGUGCAGCGUGUUCAUUUCUUUACACCAGUAGCGCCUUAUUGAAUCUGAACAAGUGAGUGACAACUUUUUUACGUCGCACCAUUAUUGUGGAUAAAAAAUUGAUGAACUAGCUUCUGCCUGCGUCUUCGUCUGCGUGGAAUGAUAAUAAUAAUGAAUGAUAAAAACUAUCCUAUGUCCUUCCCCGGGCCUCAAACUAUCUCCAUACCAACUUUCAUCCAAAUCCGUUCAGCGGAUUAAGCGUGAAGAGGUAACGGACACACAGACAGACAAUUACUUUUGCAUUUAUAAUACAAAUUAUUUAUAGGUAUAGUAAGGAUACAUGUGUUUGCAACUUGACAUUUGAAAUAUUUAACUUAUCUCACACACAAAGUUGUCAUAAAUUUGUUUCUCUCAAUGUUGGUUAAAAGGUAAAGUAUUUUCAUACCCGACUACUGCACAGUCAUUCGGUAUUUUGUAUAGGUAAUAGUCUACCCUAAAUCGUCGGCACUUACUAAGCUGAUGAUUAUGAGACAUUCAUAGUAGAUUACUUUUUACAGCUCGGAUGAGAAAGGCUAUAUUUUUAUUUGAUUUCUAAAACUAUGUGUGAACUAGUGUACCUACUACUUAAUGAACGUAUUGGAGAUCCAGAAGGAUUUUAACAUAAAUAUCUGAUUUCGUACCUUUAAUGUUUUCUGGAUUCGGAAACAUUUUUUUCAUCAUGACUCAGUUAAAAAACACCGUGUUUAUAACAAAUUGCUCAACUUAUAAGUCGACAGCAAACUCAUAUAUUAUUUUCUGCUUCAGUUUCCCCAGAAAUGCAUGAUAAAAAUCCAUCGGCUUCGGCUUGGGUACCAUGUCAAUUUAGUUUUGGAACUAUUUAUUAGUUUUGUUUAAAGUUUUAUAUCUACAUCCAUAUCAUUAACUUCCUAUAAUAUAUUCAGAAACGAUAAACUAAUGGCAUUUAUUAAGAGAGAAGAGUAGUUUUGCAAACCUAACUAAAUAACGAUACUUUUUCUACAUUCGUUUGUAAGUUAGCAUAAAAUUCCUUUUUUUUGUUUAUAAAUACACUGCAUAUAGUAAAAAAAAUAAAUAUAAUGAGCGAUAAGGAUAUUUCGAAGACGCCACCUCAAAUUCGCGAGUUAAUCAAGAGAGGAACGAUACCCUAACGCCGGCCGUUAUAUGCGAUUCCUGAAUAUAUUAUAAAUAACUUAUAAUAUGUAUGUAGAUAUAGCAGUGUAUGUAACUGUACGUAAUUAAGCAUUAUAACACUGGUAUGAUCCUUUUAUAAAACUCACUUCGUUCGUUUCAUAAACCCAUACUCAUAUUUUAAUUCCUUUCAUUAUGUAGCAGUCAGAUAAACUACUAUUACCUAACGAUCUUUUUUGAGGGUAUAUUCGUUUGUGACAAUAAAAAUCCGAUAGAUUAAAAGAAAAUAAUCAAGAAAGAAGCUAGUAAUGUUUACAAAAAUCCCGCAUUAGAACUGUCUGGUGUGUACUUACAACGCACCUAUUUACUGAUAAGCGAUAGAAGUAAGAUUAUCAUAAUAAAUAAUAAAAACGACAAUACAUGUAUUACGAAAAGUUUCUCAUAUCAUUUGAAUUAAGUGAAAAAACUGCAUACCACACAUAGAUCUAUAGUUUAAUUAUAUUUAUUAGAUCAAACUAAAUUCUAUUAUAUAAUUUAUUUUUGUGACUGAUGAAAAACAAGAGAAAAAAUACAUUAAUAGAUCACUUGGCGCUUUUAAGAGCACAUGUGGUUACGUUUAUUGUAUGAAGAAGACAGGAUAAAGUAUCGUCUUUUAUUUCUAUCACUGCUUAAGAGCCCGGUGACCGUUUUAGAGCAAAGAUGUAAAAUUGAUAGCUUUAAUUGUUUAAAUUGUACACCUUUUGUUACGUAAUAUCUAAAUAACAAGUAUUAGUUUCAAUUAGCAAGUUUUUUCAUCUUGCCUUUUAAUAAUGAGGUCGCAAGCGUGCGUCCCCGGUAAUCUGUGACGAAAAGGGACAGUUUUUAAAAAUUUAUCAAUAAAUGAUGGUAGUACAUUAUACAAAAUGAUGUAUAAGAACAGUUUCAGCAAAUGUUGUAGAUAGUUUAAUUACCAAAAUUACGUUGAAAUUAAGUCGAUUUUCAGAGAAGUUGUCACUUGUUUUGAAGUAAUUUCUGGAGAAAAUUGAUUUCGUCUAAAUUUUAUUUAUACUACUUCAAUUUUAUAAUAACAAAAAUGUAGUUUAUUAAAAUUAAAUAUGUGUAAUACAAAAUUACUAUUUUUAGCAGUCAAAACUUUACGAUAUUUAAAAAUAAGCUGCGCUGCUGCACUGCUUUACGCGCGUUUACCUAAACGUCCAUCAGAAAAAAAACAUUACUUAUUAAGUGAGUCUGGUUUUCAAAUAAUUAUUGAUUAAAAUGAAAGAUAACAAGAUGUCCUAAUAGAAACCAGUACUUGUUAUUUCUAAUAGUUAACAAAAGGUGUACAACUUCAUGCGCUAAAUCUAUCAAUUAAACAUUUUUGCGACCAAAUCGAUAACAGCCUCUUUAAAAGAGAGUGUUUGUCUUGUCUUUAUCACGUAACUAACCAUAAUACGCCUAGCUAACAUGGAAAUAGCAAAAUUUUAUCAAUUAAGAAUGUUGUUUGAUUUAAAGUUAAAUAAAAAUGUAUCCGUUAAAUAGAGUUAAAAUUUUCAUAACUUAGAUCACAAGUAAAUCAGGAAUAAAUUACACUAUGUGAUAAUUAUAUACACAAUUUAUAAGAUGUAGCAAUGGAGAAGAUAUUGUUUUUAAUUUGUUGUUAUACGAGUGUCCCAAAGACGCUUACUAUUGAUGUAAUAAUAAAGUGCACUACAGCAGUGUCGUCAUAUCAGAA